rnacentral:rRNA from 1 species
UACGAGGGGGGCAAGUGUUGUUCGGAAUCACUGGGCGUAAAGGGAGUGUAGGCGGACGUUUAAGUUGGAUGUUUAAAACCGGGGCCCAACCUCGGAGCGGCAUGCAAAACUGGGCGUCUUGAAUGGAACAGAGGCUAGUGGAAUUGGGGGUGUAGCGGUGGAAUGCGUAGAGAUCCGCAAGAACACCAAUUGCGAAGGCAGCUAGCUGGGUUCACAUUGACGCUGAGGCUCGAAAGCGUGGGGAGCAAACAGG